UUUGAAAAGCCUGAGGUGAGGGUCGCAGAGGUGAAUCUUGAUGCAGAAUUUUCAGUAAAUAUUGAAGGAAUUGAUUAAAAUAAUAAGACACAGUUGGACUAACUCUGAAGUCAGCUGAAGCCUCAGCAUGAUGAGCCGUCCACAGAAAUACAUAGAAGGUGAAGCUCUUGAUUCUCAACACGCAAAAUCAAACAAUGCGUUAAAGCUCAGAGUGGCCGUGCUGGUUGUCUGUGUUCUCCUGGUAUCGGCUCUCGUGGUAACUUAUCUCUAUUUGCUGCUGUGCCUGGGAUCAUUGUUCUCUCUGCGUUACAUUUGACUCUUGAAUACUUUAGUAUACAGAGAAGUUCAUGGUUUAAGGUGCCCAGGUCUUAUGGCUGGAAAACAACUUCAAAUCACUAACAUCCACUACUGGAAUGACAGCUGGUAUGAGGUCUUUGUGCUGAUAUGCUGUGUUGGUUUUUCACAAAGCUGGGCACUGUGUAUUAUGGUCAAAUAUCUGCCUAAUCUAGAGAAAUGCAUGAGUUCUCCACCACUGACAGCCACUUAUAAGUCUGCACCACACAGCUGUCUACCAUACAAGGGGAGGAGAAGUGUUGCACACUUAAAUAAAACCUUUGUGGCUUAAUGUGUCAGCCUUUGGUGUACAAUCUGCAAAUAUACAGACACAGUCCAUCGUCACAGUGGACUGAAAUAUUUCAAACUCAACAAAUACAUCUUACAGUAGAAUAAAUGAAAUCAAGAUUAAAAGAUGAUUACAAACAUAAUGAGGAUUACCAUACAUAAUACUGUAUUACACGUUUUGUAACCAGUCUCUUAACUCUUGCUAGGCCCACUACAUUACAAUGAGUGGCCCACUGUGUUUAGCCCUUGUAGACUGCUCAUUUCAGGGCAUACUCCCUCUUGUGGUAGAACGGAGGAAUAACCAUUCUUCCAGUACUACAUUUCACUGGAGACUGGGGCACACAUUAUUUUGUGACAAUUAAAGAAAACAAUAUUUUAACAAUCUGAAAACUGUAAUGAAAUAAAGGGGAUGACUUAUUUACAUACAUGAAACACUCCUUGCCCUUAUAGAUGGACCUGACCAUUUCACACCAAACCUGCCAUUGCACACUCCGGGCUCAUCUUUACAAACGACUUUUUUUUGGUUGCAUGCAUCAUGCAACAGUGCAGUUUCCUACACAGUUACCGUUACCCAAUCCACAUUUAUAAUAACACUAAAAGAUGACAAAAUGAGAACAGCAGACAUUUCAAUAAAGACCAUUUUAAGGAAUUGAACAUGAUUUAUUGAAGUACUGAGUUUGAGCAAUAAACUAUUCAGAUGGAGCUGCAUAGCAGAGUAGAGUCUAACAGUGGCAGGAAGUAGGCAAGGGCCCUUUGGAGUCUAGAUGCUGGUGGUGGCAGAGAUGAAGCAGGUUAAUACUUGGAUGAGGAACUUAUUUUGGCCAGGAUAACUUGGAGAUGAGAUGAAGGCAGGCUUACGGUGGGUAAUAAAAUCAGAGUGGAUCAGAGUGAAGAUGACAGAAUUAAGUUACAACAUGGGAAAGUGGAAGUGAUGUAAAGAAUAGACUAACAGCACAAAAGCACCCAGGAACGCAGGCAGAUGAGUGAAUACAGAGCUUCCUUACUGAAUGUAUGUAUAAGCAUCAUCACUAAUGCAAACUGAGCUAAGUAAAAAUAAAGAGUAGAUGGCAGCAAUGCACAUCUGCAAUAGCCUGUUGUAGAAUAACCAGCCUGUCCAGCACAGAGGAUAAAACGCAGAGCAGGUUAAUGUGGGAAACGUGUGUUGGCAUGAAUCUCCUCGACAAGUUUAAGUAAUCAGAUAACCUUUAUAGGUGAAAUCAGAUUACACAAGUAAUCAGAUUACCCCUUAUGGUGUACUCAAAUUAUAUUUUAUCAUCACUGGAGGAACUUUGAUCUAUUCUUCUCUGCAGAGUUCUUUUAAUUCAGCCACAUUAGCAAAGUGCCAAAGCAACUUACAUGUUAUUUUAUUUUUGAGACAUUCAGAUGUUGACUUACGCUUUGGAUAACUUCCCUGCUACAUCACUGUGCUGUAUUGUUUUAUUUUUUCUUAUGUUUUGCUUUCUGUUAAUGUUGGUGAAUAAAAGCCUGGUUAGUCUGCACCUCAUCUCCGCCUCGAGCCUCCUAUUUUAAUCCAGCAGAUGGUCUUGAUUCAGUUAUUAAAGCUCCAUCUAGAGGACAGAGGCAGCAGCUACAGUUUAUACAUUAAUGGGGUUGUUUUUCAGGAGCUGGGCUCAGGCCCUUAGUUCUAGUGAAAGGAACUCUUAACGCUUCAGCAUACCAAGAUAGUUUGUACAAUUUAAUGCUCUUUGUGGGAAGAGUUUGUGGCUGGCCCCUUCCUGCUCCAACAUGACUGCGCACCAGUGCACAAAGCAAGGUCCAUAUAGACAUUUAUAAGUGAGUUUGGUGUGGAAGAACUUGACUGUCUGCACAGAGUCUUGACCUGAACUCAAUAAAACACCUUUCAGAUGAAAAUGGGAUGUCACUCAAGUUCAUUGUUGUCAUAAGCAGACAACAAUGUAAUGGUAAAAAGAAAACUUUGGAGAGCAGUUGUGACUACAUGACUACAGGAUGCAGUGUGAGUGAGAUUGACAGCUGGUAGUGAAAGAGGAGAGACAAGACUUCAAAAUACUCUGUCUCUCUUAUUGAUAUACAGAAAUUAAUUAAGCUAUUUGGUGAUUAGAUUCAGAUGGGCCAUGACAGUAAAAUCGAAUCCCAGUGGUGAUAAGAAUUAGGGAAGUACUUCCCACAGUCUAGACGCUAGUGAUGGAGAUGAAGAUGGAGGUUUGGAUGGAGCCUGAGUAACAUGAGAGAGGAGGAGGUGGGUUGCAGGGAGGCGUCUGCAAGGGAGAAUGACAGAUGAGCAGUGAGAUUUGAAGCAUGCCAAGUGGAGGCUGAUUGGCCUGAAGAAGGCAGGCAGAAAGAUGACUGGACUAGACCUGUGAUGUGAGCUUGACCGCAUGGGAAAGUGAAGGUGAUGCAAAGCAUCCAAAACAUCCAGGAAGCAGAUCGAUGUGUGACUACAGAUCUUCCUUACUGAACUUACGUAUAAGCUUCAUUUUAUCUGGUAGGACAGUGAAAUUGCCAUGUCACAUUAAUGACCCGUCUACAAAUUGAACAAUUUCAGAGUUCCUCAAUGCAAAAUUGAGAAGAUUUUCAAUAUCUUAUCUACAGUACAUAAAUCAAAAGAUUCAGACAAUCUUGAGCAAACUCUGUCCACAAGUGGCAAACCUGAAAAUCCAUGCAUGUGUAGCCGGAGGGGCUACUCGUUUUUCCUUUCUCUUUCGCCCCCACUUGCGUUACUGCUUUCCCUCUCUUUCUCUCUCUCUCUCCUGUGCUUGCUCCCGCUGCGCGUUUACGUCAACUAGGAGCCCACCUGUAUAUUGAUUACAAGGCGGCGUUUACCUGUAUAAAGGGAAGCCGGGUUUUCUCGUUGGAUUAUUUCCUCCCGAGCUUCUGGUGCGAUACAGCGGUAGACGCUGGCUUGUUGGUUAAAUUACUGAGGCGAUCAGGUCGUGUGAUUGCUGCAGCGCGGCUGUUUUUCUUUCCUUUGCUCCAGCCGUGGUGAGGAGACGCGUGAGUGCAUCCGCCGUGCAGUACAGCGCCUCCAAGUUCUGGGGGUUUGACUGCUGCCGUGUCCUCUCGGGGACCAACCGCCUGCUCUGCUGCUGUCUUGUCUUGUUGACUUUGUUAUAUUACAGUUAAUCUGCGGCGGCCCAGUUUUCCCUUGUAGCUUGCUUUCCCACGCCCUUUUGGACUAUUGUUCGCUCCAGCUUUCGUGGCUGGCCGGGGCGAUUCUCGGCCGUAUAUUGGCCCGGUUAUACGAACUGGUACUGCCUUUCCCCUUUCUCCCAGCUGUGGGAAGUUGUGUGAGACCGAGCAGACCAAGGACAAUCGGACCCAGCACCAGCUGUGGGCUGGUUCGCCGAGCGAAAGUAUUUUUAAUCAGUGCUCUGUGGUGUAUAACUGGUUGUGUUGUAUCACCGACUUUUGUUUUCUUUUAAUUGGUUCUUUCUUUUGUUUCGUAGGUUGAGAGCCUGUUUAUGUCCCAUGUUUUUAUCCUUUUUAAUGUGUUUAUCUCGUGCUUUUAUUUCAGCGAACUGAGGAUUUACCAGCGGCCGUGGGACCUCAGGUGGUGGGUCGUUUUCCACACUUCUUUUGUUGUACAGCACCAGGUGAAUAGACUAUAGUAGGUUUUUUUGUGUGGUUCUUUUGGUCCACCGCUGCUGGUAAGUCCCAGUUGUAUUUAUUUUUAUUGUAAUUUGGGACACCGUUUUAGAUAUUCAGUGCGCUGUUGUUUUGUUUUUCAUUUUACAUUAAUAAAUAAAAUUGUGUUUAUAUUUGA